GAUGAACGCUGGCGGCGUGCCUAAUACAUGCAAGUCGAACGCUUUGUGGUUCAACUGAUUUGAAGAGCUUGCUCAGAUAUGACGAUGGACAUUGCAAAGAGUGGCGAACGGGUGAGUAACACGUGGGAAACCUACCUCUUAGCAGGGGAUAACAUUUGGAAACAGAUGCUAAUACCGUAUAACAAUGACAACCGCAUGGUUGUUAUUUAAAAGAUGGUUCUGCUAUCACUAAGAGAUGGUCCCGCGGUGCAUUAGCUAGUUGGUAAGGUAAUGGCUUACCAAGGCGAUGAUGCAUAGCCGAGUUGAGAGACUGAUCGGCCACAAUGGGACUGAGACACGGCCCAUACUCCUACGGGAGGCAGCAGUAGGGAAUCUUCCACAAUGGGCGAAAGCCUGAUGGAGCAACGCCGCGUGUGUGAUGAAGGGUUUCGGCUCGUAAAACACUGUUGUAAGAGAAGAAUGACAUUGAGAGUAACUGUUCAAUGUGUGACGGUAUCUUACCAGAAAGGAACGGCUAAAUACGUGCCAGCAGCCGCGGUAAUACGUAUGUUCCAAGCGUUAUCCGGAUUUAUUGGGCGUAAAGCGAGCGCAGACGGUUAUUUAAGUCUGAAGUGAAAGCCCUCAGCUCAACUGAGGAAUUGCUUUGGAAACUGGAUGACUUGAGUGCAGUAGAGGAAAGUGGAACUCCAUGUGUAGCGGUGAAAUGCGUAGAUAUAUGGAAGAACACCAGUGGCGAAGGCGGCUUUCUGGACUGUAACUGACGUUGAGGCUCGAAAGUGUGGGUAGCAAACAGGAUUAGAUACCCUGGUAGUCCACACCGUAAACGAUGAGUGCUAGGUGUUUGAGGGUUUCCGCCCUUAAGUGCCGCAGCUAACGCAUUAAGCACUCCGCCU
rnacentral:rRNA from 1 species